AAAUUGAAGAGUUUGAUCAUGGCUCAGAUUGAACGCUGGCGGCAGGCCUAACACAUGCAAGUCGAACGGUAACAGGAAGCAGCUUGCUGCUUUGCUGACGAGUGGCGGACGGGUGAGUAAUGUCUGGGAAACUGCCUGAUGGAGGGGGAUAACUACUGGAAACGGUAGCUAAUACCGCAUAACGUCGCAAGACCAAAGAGGGGGACCUUCGGGCCUCUUGCCAUCGGAUGUGCCCAGAUGGGAUUAGCUAGUAGGUGGGGUAAAGGCUCACCUAGGCGACGAUCCCUAGCUGGUCUGAGAGGAUGACCAGCCACACUGGAACUGAGACACGGUCCAGACUCCUACGGGAGGCAGCAGUGGGGAAUAUUGCACAAUGGGCGCAAGCCUGAUGCAGCCAUGCCGCGUGUAUGAAGAAGGCCUUCGGGUUGUAAAGUACUUUCAGCGGGGAGGAAGGGAGUAAAGUUAAUACCUUUGCUCAUUGACGUUACCCGCAGAAGAAGCACCGGCUAACUCCGUGCCAGCAGCCGCGGUAAUACGGAGGGUGCAAGCGUUAAUCGGAAUUACUGGGCGUAAAGCGCACGCAGGCGGUUUGUUAAGUCAGAUGUGAAAUCCCCGGGCUCAACCUGGGAACUGCAUCUGAUACUGGCAAGCUUGAGUCUCGUAGAGGGGGGUAGAAUUCCAGGUGUAGCGGUGAAAUGCGUAGAGAUCUGGAGGAAUACCGGUGGCGAAGGCGGCCCCCUGGACGAAGACUGACGCUCAGGUGCGAAAGCGUGGGGAGCAAACAGGAUUAGAUACCCUGGUAGUCCACGCCGUAAACGAUGUCGACUUGGAGGUUGUGCCCUUGAGGCGUGGCUUCCGGAGCUAACGCGUUAAGUCGACCGCCUGGGGAGUACGGCCGCAAGGUUAAAACUCAAAUGAAUUGACGGGGGCCCGCACAAGCGGUGGAGCAUGUGGUUUAAUUCGAUGCAACGCGAAGAACCUUACCUGGUCUUGACAUCCACGGAAGUUUUCAGAGAUGAGAAUGUGCCUUCGGGAACCGUGAGACAGGUGCUGCAUGGCUGUCGUCAGCUCGUGUUGUGAAAUGUUGGGUUAAGUCCCGCAACGAGCGCAACCCUUAUCCUUUGUUGCCAGCGGUCCGGCCGGGAACUCAAAGGAGACUGCCAGUGAUAAACUGGAGGAAGGUGGGGAUGACGUCAAGUCAUCAUGGCCCUUACGACCAGGGCUACACACGUGCUACAAUGGCGCAUACAAAGAGAAGCGAUCUCGCGAGAGCAAGCGGACCUCAUAAAGUGCGUCGUAGUCCGGAUUGGAGUCUGCAACUCGACUCCAUGAAGUCGGAAUCGCUAGUAAUCGUGGAUCAGAAUGCCACGGUGAAUACGUUCCCGGGCCUUGUACACACCGCCCGUCACACCAUGGGAGUGGGUUGCAAAAGAAGUAGGUAGCUUAACCUUCGGGAGGGCGCUUACCACUUUGUGAUUCAUGACUGGGGUGAAGUCGUAACAAGGUAACCGUAGGGGAACCUGCGGUUGGAUCACCUCCUUACCUUAAAGAAGC
rnacentral:rRNA from 1 species